rnacentral:misc_RNA from 1 species
ACCUAAACGUUGCUUCGGCGGGAAUAGACGGCCCUGUAAAACGGGCCGCCCCCGCCAGAGGACUCUUAACUCUGUUUCUUAUAAUGUUUCUUCUGAGUAAAACAAGCAAAUAAAUUAAAACUUUCAACAACGGAUCUCUUGGCUCUGGCAUCGAUGAAGAACGCAGCGAAAUGCGAUAAGUAAUGUGAAUUGCAGAAUUCAGUGAAUCAUCGAAUCUUUGAACGCACAUUGCGCCCGCCAGUAUUCUGGCGGGCAUGCCUGUUCGAGCGUCAUUACAACCCUCAGGCCCCCGGGCCUGGCGUUGGGGAAUCGGCGGAGCGCCCCUCGUGGGCGCACGCCGUCCCCCAAAUACAGUGGCGGUCCCGCCGCAGCUUCCAUCGCGUAGUAGCUAACACCUCGCGACUGGAGAGCGGCGCGGCCACGCCGUAAAACACCCCAACUCUUCUGAAGUUGACCUCGAAUCAGGUAGGAAUACCCGCUGAACUUAAGCAUAUC